rnacentral:rRNA from 1 species
UACGUAGGGACCGAGCGUUGUCCGGAUUCAUUGGGCGUAAAGAGCUCGUAGGCGGCUGUUCAAGUCGAACGUGAAAACUCGGAGCUCAACUCCGAGCCUGCGUUCGAUACUGGACGGCUAGAGUCUGGUAGGGGGAUCUGGAAUUCCUGGUGUAGCGGUGGAAUGCGCAGAUAUCAGGAGGAACACCGGUGGUGUAGACGGCUUUCUGGACCGUAACUGACGCUGAGACACGAAAGCGUGGGUAGCAAACAGG